rnacentral:sRNA from 1 species
AGGUUCUUUGUGAUUCAU